GACGAACGCUGGCGGCGUGCUUAAUGCAUGCAAGUCGAACGAGGAACCCCCUCUGGGUAACCAGCGGGGAAUUCCUAGUGGCGAACGGGUGAGUAACACGUGAGAAACCUGCCCCGGAGAUCGGGAUAGCCCAGGGAAACCUGGAUUAAUACCGAAUACCCUCGGAUGUCCGCAUGGUCGACCGAGGAAAUGGUCCGCUGCUCCGGGAUGGUCUCGCGUCCUAUCAGCUUGUUGGUGAGGUAACGGCUCACCAAGGCAACGACGGGUAGCUGGUCUGAGAGGACGAUCAGCCACACUGGGACUGAGACACGGCCCAGACUCCUACGGGAGGCAGCAGCAGGGAAUUUUGCACAAUGGGCGCAAGCCUGAUGCAGCGACGCCGCGUGGGGGAUGAAUGCCUUCGGGUUGUAAACCCCUUUCAGGAGGGACGAAGCGAAAGUGACGGUACCUCCAGAAGAAGCCCCGGCCAACUACGUGCCAGCAGCCGCGGUAAUACGUAGGGGGCAAGCGUUGUCCGGAUUUAUUGGGCGUAAAGAGCUCGUAGGCGGCUCAGCAAGUCGGCCGUGAAAGCCUGAGGCUCAACCUCAGGACGCCGGUCGAAACUGCUGUGGCUAGGGUCCGGUAGAGGAGAGUGGAAUUCCCGGUGUAGCGGUGAAAUGCGCAGAUAUCGGGAGGAACACCAGUAGCGAAGGCGGCUCUCUGGGCCGGCACCGACGCUGAGGAGCGAAAGCUAGGGGAGCAAACAGGAUUAGAUACCCUGGUAGUCCUAGCCGUAAACGUUGGGCACUAGGUGUGGCGGAUUCAUUGACAUCUGCCGUGCCGUAGCUAACGCAUUAAGUGCCCCGCCUGGGGAGUACGGUCGCAAGGCUAAAACUCAAAGGAAUUGACGGGAGCCCGCACAAGCGGCGGAGCAUGCGGCUUAAUUCGAUGGUACCCGAAGAACCUUACCUGGACUUGA
rnacentral:rRNA from 1 species